AACUGAGUAUCUUCGGGAGAUAUGGGCUCCAAAAGAAGUGGCAUCCUCCUCGAAUGGAAAG
ensembl:misc_RNA